rnacentral:rRNA from 1 species
UGGCGGCGUGCUAUACAUGCAAGUCGAGCGAACAGAUAAGGAGCUUGCUCCUUUGACGUUAGCGGCGGACGGGUGAGUAACACGUGGGUAACCUACCUAUAAGACUGGGAUAACUUCGGGAAACCGGAGCUAAUACCGGAUAACAUUUGGAACCGCAUGGUUCUAAAGUGAAAGAUGGUUUUGCUAUCACUUAUAGAUGGACCCGCGCCGUAUUAGCUAGUUGGUAAGGUAACGGCUUACCAAGGCGACGAUACGUAGCCGACCUGAGAGGGUGAUCGGCCACACUGGAACUGAGACACGGUCCAGACUCCUACGGGAGGCAGCAGUAGGGAAUCUUCCGCAAUGGGCGAAAGCCUGACGGAGCAACGCCGCGUGAGUGAUGAAGGGUUUCGGCUCGUAAAACUCUGUUAUUAGGGAAGAACAAAUGUGUAAGUAACUGUGCACGUCUUGACGGUACCUAAUCAGAAAGCCACGGCUAACUACGUGCCAGCAGCCGCGGUAAUACGUAGGUGGCAAGCGUUAUCCGGAAUUAUUGGGCGUAAAGCGCGCGUAGGCGGUUUCUUAAGUCUGAUGUGAAAGCCCACGGCUCAACCGUGGAGGGUCAUUGGAAACUGGGAAACUUGAGUGCAGAAGAGGAAAGUGGAAUUCCAUGUGUAGCGGUGAAAUGCGCAGAGAUAUGGAGGAACACCAGUGGCGAAGGCGACUUUCUGGUCUGUAACUGACGCUGAUGUGCGAAAGCGUGGGGAUCAAACAGGAUUAGAUACCCUGGUAGUCCACGCCGUAAACGAUGAGUGCUAAGU